rnacentral:rRNA from 1 species
GUCGAGAAUCUUUCACAAUGGGGGCAACCCUGAUGGAGCGACGCCGCGUGGAGGAUAAGGUCUUCGGAUUGUAAACUCCUGUCAUGCGUGAACAAGGUUGCUUGGUUAAUACCUGGGCAAAUUGAUGGUAACGCAAGAGGAAGAGACGGCUAACUCUGUGCCAGCAGCCGCGGUAAUACAGAGGUCUCAAGCGUUGUUCGGAAUCACUGGGCGUAAAGGGUGCGUAGGUGGCGUGGUAAGUCAGAUGUGAAAGCCCGGGGCUCAACCUCGGAACUGCAUCCGAUACUGGCAUGCUAGAGUACUGGAGAGGUGACUAGAAUUCUCGGUGUAGCAGUGAAAUGCGUAGAUAUCGAGAGGAAUACCAAAGGCGUAGGCAGGUCACUGGACAGUUACUGACACUGAGGCACGAAGGCCAGGGGAGCGAACGGGAUUAGAAACCCUGGUAGUCC